rnacentral:pre_miRNA from 1 species
CGAUGAUUAUAAUGAUGAUGAUGAUGAUGAUGAUGGUGAUCAUGAGUAAAAUGGAAAUGACGAUGAUCAUCAUCAUCAUCAUCAUCAUCAUGCCAA